ACCCUCUGCCUCUUCACCGCUGCCCCCCACACUUACCUGAUGAUAGGGGCUGUAGGCUGCUGCGAAGUAGGGCUGGGGAGGACCGUAGACUUGGUGCUGCCCCGCGCCCCCCGGGGAGGAUGCCUCCGUCGUUCCUCCUGCCUCGUCGGGCCCCGCUCCUGGCCGGGGAGAAGUGGAGCUCCGGGAAAGGCAGGGAUCGGGAUAACACCCUCCAAAUCCCACCAAGUCCGGCGUCCGCCGGAAAAUGCCACCGCAAAGUCACAGGAGUUGAGAGGUCUGAUGAAUUCAAGGAGGAAAAUCCAGUUGCUCCCGUGGAGGAAUCUCCCCAGACACUUUUGAAUCAUUUCAAAUCCUGGGAACCGCGAUGCUUUUGCAUUAACAGAAAUUAAAACAACGCCGAUGGCAAAGUCACGUCAAAAGAACAAAUUAUCGUGAAGGUAAACUUGAUUUCCUCCUCGGCUUUCUGCCGAGUGUGACAUGCAAAGUUGUAAAUAGGUGAAUGUAUCUUCACUGCUCAUUUUGACGGAGUUGCAUAGGAACUAGAUUACUUUCUAACAGAGAUCUAAGUUCUCAUUUCAAUACCAACUCUUUGAAACGUUCAUCUUCGUGGUAAGGGUCACAACUACAGUGAAAAGAGACCCGAGCUUGUUUCUUUUUUUCUUUAAGAAUCUGUAAUAAAGCAGAAAAAAUAUAGAACA